rnacentral:lncRNA from 1 species
GCCGUUGCGGAGAAAUCCCGUCACAGGGGUCGACUCAUGAGUCGACUCAUGCCUCAGGGGUCGACUCAUGAGUCGACCUCUGUUGAAGAAUACCAGAAAAUAGGGUUCUGUAAUUUUUGGCCUAAAACUGCAGGGGUCGACUCAUGGGUCGACUCACAGGUUGUGCCAAGCCAAAAAUUCUGCGUGCCAAACAGCUCAUUGUGCCAUGAGCUGACUCAAUGAGUCGACUCAUGGAUUUCAAACAUGCAUAACUUCCAAAAUACAAGUCCAAAAAUAAUGAAAUUUUC